rnacentral:tRNA from 1 species
GUCGCAGUGGUCGAGUGGUUGAGGCGAUGGACUAGAAAUCCAUUGGGCACUCCCUGCGUAGGUUCAACUCCUGCUCUCUACG